GUGGCUAUAGCUCAGUUUGGUUAGAGCGACGGGUUGUGGUCCCGUAGGUCGUGGGUUCAAGUCCCAUUAGCCACCCCA
rnacentral:tRNA from 1 species